rnacentral:tRNA from 1 species
GGGGUUGUGACUCAGUGGUAGAGUGCUUGCCUAGCAUGCGUGAGGCACUGGGUUCAAUUCUCAGCACCA